GAUAAUUGAUUUGAUAAAUUUUAAUUAAUUUUAAAGAAUGCUUUAAAGAUAUUUAUUAGCAGAAUGUAUAAAUUUAAACACCCAAAAAAAGGAAAUUAAAGUACUUAUUAAAUUCAACAAGUAGUUGUUUCUAAAGCUUUCCAACCAAACACUUUCCACGUUUCUAUUCAUCAUUGCUUAUAAGAAAUUUCAAGAAAGAAAAGGCAUGAUUAAUUUCAUAUACCAAUGAUAAAAAUAUUUUUAUGAUAUCUUGUCAUGUUU
rnacentral:lncRNA from 1 species